UAGCUCUGGCUUCCCUUCAAAACACAUAAAUCUUUCGCUUUUUACUAAAGAUUUCCGAAUUAUAGAAUAAGCUAGUGUGAGCAUCAUCCCCUUUGGAUAAUUGAUUUUUCACUCAAUAU